rnacentral:autocatalytically_spliced_intron from 2 species
UUGAGCCGGUUGCCUGGAAAACGGGCGCGGCCGGUUCUGAGGGGCCCCAACGCGGAGACGCGCUGGGGCUACCCGACGAGCUGUUCUUCUCCACCCUGAC